CCUACGGGAGGCAGCAGUGAGGAAUAUUGGUCAAUGGACGAGAGUCUGAACCAGCCAAGUAGCGUGAAGGAUGACUGCCCUAUGGGUUGUAAACUUCUUUUAUAUGGGAAUAAAAUGUUCCACGUGUGGGAUUUUGUAUGUACCAUAUGAAUAAGGAUCGGCUAACUCCGUGCCAGCAGCCGCGGUACUACGGAGGAUCCGAGCGUUAUCCGGAUUUAUUGGGUUUAAAGGGAGCGUAGGUGGAUUGUUAAGUCAGUUGUGAAAGUUUGCGGCUCAACCGGAAAAUUGCAGUUGAAACUGGCAGUCUUGAGUACAGUAGAGGUGGGCGGAAUGCGUGGUGUAGCGGUGAAAUGCUUAGAUAUCACGAAGAACUCCGAUUGCGAAGGCAGUUCACUGGACUGCAACUGACACUGAGGCUCGAAAGUGUGGGUAUCAAACAGGAUUAGAUACCCUUGUAGUC
rnacentral:rRNA from 1 species